AUGAUCAGGAUAUGGGAAUGAUGAGUUCAGUUUUAGGCUUAAUGACUUUGAAGUGCUACGGGGACUUGGAGUUUGGGAGGGCAAUUGGAAUUGAAAUUACAGACGCAGAAAAUGUCCAUCUUAAGCAGGUGGCUGGAGCUGAAAGGGGAAAUAGAAAUAUACAGGCAGACAGAACAGAGAGCCAGACUGAAGACAGGGACCAAGAAAGCAAAAAAAGUGAUUUGUGCUUCAUGACGGAGGAUGAGGAGAAGACAGAGGAAGCAGGGCUCGAGACCAACUGAACAGAGUCAGAUUACUUCCUUGGAGAGAAACCAGAUAAUAUGUUAAGAGGACACUCUUCCUAAGGAGAGAUCCAUGUGGCAAAAAACUGAGGCCUCCUGUCAAUAUUCAAUGUCGAAUUGAGACCUCCUGCCAACAGCCAAUGAGGAACUGAGGACUCCAGAACAGUCAGUGUGCGAUUGAGGCCUCUAGUUAAUAGCCAAUGAAGAAUUAAGGCCUCCGGAAUGGCCAAUGAGCAACUGAGGCUUCCAGUUAGCAGCCACUGAGAAACUGAGGCCUCCUGCCAGCAGUCUUCAUCAACUUGCCAGGCUAAUGAGCAGCCCCUUCUGCAGCCCCAGUCAAACCUUCACAUGGCUGCAGCUCAGAAGGACGCCUUGACUAUAACUUUAUGGGAGACCCUGACCCAGAACCACCCAAUCAGCCACUCCAGAGGUCCCCACAGAAACUGUGACAUGAUAAAUGUCUGCUGCUGUUCUCCACUGCUAAGUUUUGGGACAAGAGGUGUAUCCUGUGCCUCUGUCUGUCUCCUCAUGCCUCACAGUGCCUGGAAUACAGAUGCUUGGGACUGACUGGACAUAAAGUUGUGUAAUAUCCCAACCCUCCUUAAAUGCUAAAGAACACAAAAUCAAUUUUAGUGCUGCUAACACUGAGGGCAAGUACAACCAAGAACAGAGCUUUUACCAAGUAUUUACAUUACAGCUGACAACCUAGAAAACUAUUACCUUAGAAAAGUGGGUGAUAAAUUAAGAGAGGCUUUCAGAAUAAUGAACAUGUACUUUGCCCUAGUUGUGCUUCAUUGUACCAGAGAUUCUACUUGAAGAACAAAACACGGAAGUAUGGUGCACGCCUUACUUCUCUCUAAAACUGGAUAUAGGACUUCACCUGUGAGGA